ACUGGACACAAAGUACUCAAUACGUUCUUAUCCCUUUUGAACAAACAAUUGUUGCCUAGAGUGCACAGUUCCAUCUUUCCAGGUAAACUCCUACAUCAGGGUUAGUCCCCAACAAGCAGUCCUGUUGUUAAGGAUGUGUCUGCAAAUGGAUUGUCUAUAAACAAACUCAGCAUCUGGCAGACAUUCCAAGUAUUCAACUUUAGCUGUCUGGUGAUGGAGCGAUGGAUGGUGAUCAUAACAGGUGACUGGAAAAUACUCAUGUCCUGUUUGUGUCCGGAUUUCCCAUGCAAGAUGUCAGAACCAGCAUUUCAGGAAGUAGACUGAAAUAAAGGAACUAUUAAAUAAGCUCGCA
rnacentral:lncRNA from 1 species